GACCACGUAGCUCAGUUGGAAGAGCAUUGGGCUAGUAUUCCAAAGGUCGUAGGUUCGAAUCCCACCGUGGCCA
rnacentral:tRNA from 1 species